UACAGAGGUCCCAAGCGUUGUUCGGAUUCAUUGGGCGUAAAGGGUGUGUAGGUGGCGCCGUAAGUCGGGUGUGAAAUCUCGGGGCUUAGCUCCGAAACUGCAUUCGAUACUGCGGUGCUUGAGGACUGGAGAGGAGACUGGAAUUCAUGGUGUAGCAGUGAAAUGCGUAGAGAUCAUGAGGAAGACCAGUGGCGAAGGCGGGUCUCUGGACAGUUCCUGACACUGAGACACGAAGGCCAGGGGAGCAAACGGG
rnacentral:rRNA from 1 species